UGUCAAAAAUACUCUGUAAAAAUAAUUUAUGAAGGUGGUAGGAAGAAUUAACCUCGUUCGUUGAUGUAUAUUUUCUGGAAAGCCACAACACCUCAACGAAAAAGUGCCACGACUUUUUUUUUCAACCAAGCACUGCGUGAAGAUAUCCCCAAAUCUCAUCUGUCCAUGGAUCCAGUUUCAGCCAGCGUUCCUUUGGUCGUUGCCACACAGAGAAAAAUCUCUCCAUUCAUUCUCUCCAAAUCUCGCACCCGGCCACAACAAUCAUCACCACUCCACCUCCUCUCCCUCCCCUGUCGAGCUCAGAGCAGCGGCGCAACCUGAGCCAACUCGGCAUCUUGGACACGAAUCGCGUCACCAGCCCCUGGCUAUUCCCCAGCCCCACAGUUCAUCUUUUCCUCCCCUUCCCUCCGUCCGUCUCGAAAUCCUCGUCGUCGGGUAGAUGGCCAAUUUCUCGGGUCACCGUGUAUUCCCCUCAUCCUCUUUCGGUCUUUCCCUUCAUGAUGUGGACGAUAGUAUAUGCCAAGCGAUUUAGAUCGAGGCUAUUCAUGCAGAUGUUCCAAGCAAAUCGAGUGUAUAUAAACCGGUUGGAAUCAUCAUAAGGGAACGAUGUGGGACUAUUUGAGAAUAAUUUGAUCGGUUGCUGCUUUGCCUAAAUCCCAAUACACAAGCCCACCAAAUGGCAGGCCCAAGAGGAAGGCUAAUGUGCAGGGGUGAGUACGAGACGCCUGCGUGGGCAGAAGAACGCACGCGCUGAUAUUUUUCUUCCGAGACGAAACGUUUUCUUCAUAUAACGGUGGCAUUAACUGUAAUUUCAUCUGAAAAUUAGGGAUAAUUAAAAAACGGACGAAAAUUUUGGGGAGAAACCUUACUUCCUUUAUUAGUAGGUAAAGAUUUUGGCAUCCUAGCGAAUGACAGAUUUACUAAACACAAUCUAAUUAAAAAACACUUCACAAAGUGUGUUGGUACCUGUUCAUUCAAGAUCUCACUGAUAUAAAUGUCACACCUUAGGGCUUGGCCUUUUCCCCUUGAGGAACAAACAACCAACCACUGGAGCAGACCGCGUGGCUGAUAGAGCACGUCAGCCAUGAGCCCACGAGUGAUCCACGAAAGGGGAGGCGGAAAUAUCUACUGGGAAGCUGAGGCAGAAAAAACGAGGGCAUGAAUCGUUUGAGCGACUCAUACCCAAUCGCUAUUUGCUUGUGCGGGCUAUUGGCUGGCUAGGGGUGCUGCAAUAGCUUCACCAAUUUGGACUGAACAGUUAGCUUCCCUUGGCUAGGCAGCUCGACCGGUGUUGGGCGCAACUCUGCCUCUGAAUGGACAUGUAAUUUGUACAUCUUUAUUUGCUCUAUGCUGUGUAAAGAGAUUAUGUUAGUGUGAGUUGUGUUCGAUGUUUCUCAGAUCAAGAAAUACAUACCUAAUUAUACA